GAACCACUUGACCACCUUUCCGUGUUUUUAAAAAUACAAGAAAACAAGACUCAAAAGACAAAUCUCACUAAUAACAAUAUUCAUUCAUCAUCAAAACAAAAAAAACAAAAAAAUCCCAAAAAAAGAAAAAGAAAAAGAAAAAAGAUACUGAAAGAGGUAACACCACGAAGGAAGCCACUUGACAGCUUCGUGACUGGGACACCCUUCCUCUUUACCUCCGUCACUCACACGACGCCGUUUCAUCUUCCCUCUGUCGUUUCCCUCUUCUUCUUCUCCCUCUCGAUGCCGUUUAUCUAUCCAAUUCUUCUCUCCCUUUACCGUCCCUAG